CCUGAGAAACCGAAAGUUCGAAUGUGGGGAGAUUCAUCGUCAGCGAUUUUGGCUCUUAUGCGGCUCGCGAUGCCGGAGACUUCGGUCUUCAGGCACUCGUCCGCAUGGUAUUAUUGCCUUAAACGUCGGCGUGCACUUCUCCCCUAGUAGGACGUCGCGACCCGUUGGGUGUCGGUCUACGGCCUGGGCGGUAGCCUGUUUCGCGUUCGCUUCGCGGCGUUACGCGAUUCAGACCCCUGGUUGCCUGACCGGCUGCUCGGCGGUACGCGCAUGGUAUCUGGCCGCAAAUAUCGAGCUGCGUCCGGCCCGUCGCAAGCGAGGCAAAUGUUUCCCGGUUGUACGGAUCUAACGCCGUCACCGGGCCUUGCCAGCUGUUGGUUGACGGUGUCCUAGGACAGGCCAAAAUGCAAUUAUGAUACCGGUCGGCGACGCUACUGCUUUGGGUACUUUCAGGACCCGUCUUGAAACACGGACCAAGGAGUCUAACAUGUGCGCGAGUCAUUGGGUAUUAUUAAGCCUAAAGGCGCAAUGAAAGUGAAGGUCGGCCUCGCGCCGACCGAGGGAGGAUGGGCCGCGUCACGAUGCGGUCCCGCACUCCCGGGGCGUCUCGUUCUCAUUGCGAGAAGAGGCGCACCCAG
rnacentral:rRNA from 1 species